CCUCAAUUUUUGCAUCCAACUAAUUUGUCCCACCCCUCCAUUCCCGUCAUCUCUCUGCAAUUUGACUUCUUCCAUAUUUUUUUUUUAGUUUCUUUGUAUUUUGUUCAUUAGAAAUCGUAUCAGAUUUAGGUCUCAAAAUUUUCCGGCGAAGCUCCAUUUUUUCCGGCAAGAUUGACACGAAUUAAUUACUUUUUCGGGUCAAAGUCCAUUUUUGCUCCUCGUAAUCGUGGGAAAUGGGAUGGGGAAAAUGGUUACUAGUUGGGAAGAAGGAGAAAUGGGGGGCGGCAAUAUAUCGGUAGCAAUUUGAACGAAAACAAGGACCUGAAACGUGAAUUUCAGUUCCUAAAUAUAUCAACAUGAGGUCCAAUCUUUUUGGGAGCAAAGUAUUAUUUUUCUCAAGGAAACGUACGGGUUUUACACACCGCUUCGAUCUCGUUGUUCCGUUUUGUCGCGUUGUUGAAUCCGGGAUUUCUUCGAAGUGAAGUAAGGUGGAAGAAGAGUUAUAAGGCUGAACCGCUAGACAAGCAGCGAGGUUGGAUUGGCAGGAAGCUAACGAGGUUCUCUUUAUUCACUAAAUCAAGCCAGUCUCCAUCAAAAGUGAUAGGUGACUGUCAACUAUUAAUCAGUGUCGUUGGUUUUUUCUAAUACGCGUGACUUCUCUCCGUUAGAGAGAAGAGACAGCCAAUAUAUUGCUGGUCUCUUAAAACACAUGUAAAGCAUUGCGUGCGGUUUCUCCGGAUGAAACUAAAGGAUCUGCUGGGACAUGCCAAACUAGUGAAGCCACCGUGAAAGCUCGACAAGAAAACUUUAAAGUAAAUGCUUCACAUGGACAAUGAGUUACAAAAUCCAAGCAAAGGGUGCAUACAAUCGUCCAAUCAAUUAUUUCUCUACUGAAAUGGAAUAACGUCAAUCAGUACGUAGUCGAUUUAUUUUUGGUUCAUACUGUUGUUGCAUAUUCUAUCAUGUCAUUAUUUUUAUCAAAAUAACUAUCUUUAUCUUAAAUUGUUUAGUAUCAUUUUUGCUGUGACUUUGUUCAAUUGCAGCAAGUGAAAAGGAAAAUGUAUAAACUGGCUAAAGCAGUGACAAAGUAUAGAGUAGAGAUUAAACCAAGUGCCACUGCAUCAUGAGCAAGUUGUUAUGUUUCAAGAGGAACAAAUGGACUGCUUAUCAAACCAAUGAUCAUUAUGAUUGUAGAAAUAAAUGUCAAAUAUAUCUCUUUGGUUACGCUUGUAGAAAUUAUUACUUGGUUAUU